rnacentral:misc_RNA from 1 species
AUUAUUACAACCUUAUAUGCAGAUAAGAGGGUAGAUUCAUAGAACCGCAUUUUCUUAACAGCCUUUGAUACUUUCAUCUCCUGCUCCUUUUCAGUUGGCAGACGGAUGCGAUACCCGGGGAUGAUAUCUCUGAAAACGGCCAACAAAGACUGAAGGGAAAGUACCGCAAUGUCACGAUCACCAUCUUUAGAAAUCUCCAGCAUCUCCUUGAGAGAUUUGAUGUUUGAUUCAGGAUCAGUAAGCAGUGCAGUUCCCAGCUCAGCUAGUCUAAACUUCUUUUUUUGAUUGGCCUCUUCUGCUGUCAUAUCAUUUCUCACUUCGUCCAAGACUUCAGCUUGAGGUAUUUG